GUUGGCUGUAAGGGAUGCAGGGGAGCUGGCUGUUUCUCCAUUACAGGAGCAGAAAUGAACGCUGUUUGCUUCUUUUGAAAGAAUAAACAGUUUCCCUGGGGGCAGGGAGAGCAUAAACAGGUAGGUGGGAGCCAUGGUACAUAUUACUUCAGGGUAUGGGACUAACAUAGAAGCAACUUCUUUGGCCAAAGAAAUUUGGUCCUUUGAGCAAAGCAGAGGGGAAUUCCUUAUGGACGGACAAGCCCUAGUGCAACUUCCCUUUCUUUCUUUUGGCCAAGAGUCCCCUGGCUUGUUACGGAGAUGAAAGGCUAGACCACGCAGAUACUUAUGUGCUGGGUUUUGGUAGAGAUGUGGGGAGCUCCUAACUGUAUAGGGGAUGAGGCUGGGAUCAUUUCUAGAACUUUCUGCUCUUUAAUAGUGAUGCAAAGAGUCGUGUUUUGAGAGGUGAGCCUUCUAGCAGUGUUUUGUGCAUCAGUGAUUUAUGGUUCAGCUUGGAACUGUCACUCCACAAGAGUCUUGGGAGGAGUGGGUUAGUGCAGGGCUUAGAGAAAGGCUCCCUCUUCAACACUGCAUUUAAAGGUGAAACACUACAGUUUUUGUUCUUCUGAUUGUUAACUUCUCCAAACUCAUACAUUUGAGCACUGUUGCCUAGAGGGCUAUUCUAGUCAGGUGAUAGCAGAACUGUAGGACAUGAAGAAGGAGAGGACAGGUGUGUGAGGCUGCUGCAUAAUGCCAGAAUACGGAGCACCAUAAAUGGGGAAAUGCAAUGUCCAGGCAGGGUCCUGGGCACAUAGCAGAGGGCUGCUCACCCUCCUAACGUGGUAAUCUUGUCCCUUCCCAUCAACCCAUGUGCUUUUCAUUCUCAUUAGCAUUCCCCACCUCCUCACAGCCACCAGCUGGGUCUGGGAGGAGGCUGGACCAACUCCUGCCCAGGGGAGAUGGAACCAGGUCCCUUUCCAUGUGCUGAGCAGAUGCUGCCCCAAUGCUAGGCAUCAUCCCUCUUCUAGUGUGUACUCCAUUCAGCCUGGGGAUGACCCACAGGUUCCCACAGGUCAGUGCGAGCAGCUGUAGGAAGACAGAGCCAGGUGUCCCAGUUGUCAGUGCUCUUUUCUGCUCAAGAGGCACAGGGCAUGAGCAAGUGCAUUCUGUGGUGCCUUGGCAAGAGCCGAGGGUUGCUCAAACGUCAGGCCUAAAGUGACACUAGGCUGGGCUGGGGUCACUCAGUCCCUAUUAGAUGUUGCUUGGGGUGAGAAUUACUCGUUCUUGGCUGCAAAUUAGACUUUAAAAAAAGAACAAACUGCAAUGGUAGUUACUUAAAGUUUACAAGAAUGUAGGAAUGCAAUCAUGUAAAAACUUAGGCUUACUAAUGUCCAAUUGCUAGAUCUAUUCAAAGUCUAGGCACUUAGUGUGUGUGUAUGUGUGCAUGUGUGUAAGACAGAGUGAGAGAAAGAGAAGGAAAGAAUGGAUUAAAAUUAAUCAAGUUUCUAUAGAGAAUUAUCAAUUGCAUUUUUUUAUAUAUAUUCUAACUCCAUUGACCUUGACAUUUAGAAUAGCCCUCUUUGCUGGGCCUGGUGGUUCAUGCUUUUUAUCCCAGCAUUUGUGAGGCAGAGGCAGGUGGAUCUUUGUGAGUUCAGUCCAGCCUGAUCUACAUAGUGAGUUCCAGGCCAGCUAGGACUACACAGUGAGACCCUGUCUCCAAAAACCAAAACAAAACAAAACAAGGCCCCCAUCAAUUAUACUUUGAUAUGACUUCCAAAGAGAAAGACCAUUAUUAAUUCUCAGCUAGAAAAAAAGCUACUUCCUGGAAGAGAGUAAAAGCUCAUCUUGUAAAAAGACAGCAAGCUUCCGAUGAGAACAGUUCAUCUGAGGAGUGUCAGAGGACCAUGCUGGAGAGCUGCUGACAGAGGGCAGCUCCUCUGCAGUUGAGAUUCCCAAGAGAGGCUUCCACAAGGGACCUCAGCAUCACCUUCAGCUCUCACGGGGUCGGCACUGGUCUCCUCCACCCAUGAGUAGAGCAGACCAUUCCUGGACUUGUAAUUAAAUUAUUUCCUACACAGAAGUAAAAGGUUAGAUGCUGGACACAGAGGGGUGAGCCAUGAAAACAGCUUGCAUGAUCAUGCACAUGAGUUGGACGCUUCAAGGGUCCCCAGUCUUCUGCCCCACGCCUGCUUCCUGCCUGCAGCCUCCCCUGUAGACAGCUUCGUGGACCACACGCCCUCUGUGAGGGCGAAUUCCUGCCCCAGUAUCAAAUGCAGGUUCCAGGCUGUGCAGGCGGCUGCUGCUUCCGGUUUCUUACAGCUCCUGACUUCUCCUUGUACACUAUUGGCAUCUGCUGAGAAAUGUCCACCAGGGCACUGGCCACAGCGAGACCUUGGAAGAACCCACAAGAGGGGACAUGUGUCAUGAAGCAGCUUACUUUUUUACAAAAUAAUUUCAGAUUUCUUUUUACAUUUCCCUAGUGAAAGAUAAAGGGGUGAUGGUGUUAGCUUAUUUAUACACACCUAACUACUCAUUUCUCUCUCCUCCAUAGCAGAUCACAAAGUCGUGUGCUCUGCCUCAGGGUGGCAAGUGAAUGAGAGUGCAGCUAUGCUCUGAGCGUGUGCCUACUCCUGCCUGUUUCCAGAAGAUAGCAAUGAAAGUAUCACUACUUCACAGUGAGAUGUGCGAGCUACUAAAACUUUGUGUGUAUGUGCUUCCUCAAAAAGAGAAAGUACAGGAAGCUUGGCAUGGAUAACCCUGCUGUGGGGUGGGUCUCCAGAAAGGAGCAGGGUUUCAUGAGGAUUUCCAAAGAAGCAUUGGGUCAAGGGUCAGGAAGGAAAAGCUGCUAUAUCUCCAUGUAAGACCUGCUCCAUCUCUGUGUCUUCUAAAGAUCUUGCCCUUUUGAAGCAGGAGAUGCUGUCCAGAGUGCCCAGAGAGUCACUCUGUCCAAGUAAGGCUAACUCAGAGACUCAGUGCUGGGGGGAUGCCAAGUAAGAUGAAGACAAUGGGUCCUGACUCAUCAUACAUAAAUAAGGCUUCCCUUCAGGACUGGACACGGAUAAAGGAGACUUUCCUACUAAACUCCAGGUUAUUUUGGCUGAGACACCACCAAGUCCCUCAGACCACUGCAUCUGAGUAUAGUCCUGAGCAGAACACUGUGUGAGGCAUUCCUAUGCACAGCUUCAGAAUCAAGACCACUGCAGCCACCAGAAGCAGCGAGAGGAAACAACUGAAAGGCAAGACCAUCUUGUGAGUCAGCUUCACCCCUGCCUGACUCCACCCCUGCCUCCAGGGAACAAUCCUCAAGGUCCCAACUCCAGUUCCUGAUGCCGCACAGGAACCUUCGAGGGAAAAAGUUCCAGCAAAAGGAGAAAUACAUGGAAAGACUGUGGCAUGGGACGAACACAAAAGAAGUUGCCAAGAUCACUGUGGUGGUUUAAAUGAGAGUGGUCCCCAGAGGCUCACACAUUUGAAGUUUGAAUGUGUAAUACUGUUUGGAAGGAUAAGGAGGUAUCACUAAGAGUGGACUCUGAGGUUUCCAAAGCCCAUGCCAUUCCCAAUUAGCUUCUCUGCCUUAUGCUUGUGGACCAGAUGGACGAUCUCAGCUACUUGUUCAGUGCCAGGCCUGCCUGUCUGCCUUUGCUAAGAUGGUCAUGGAUUCUAACCAGGAACUGUGAUCCUCAAAUUAUAUGCUUUCUAAAUUGCCACUGUCAGGGUGCUUUGUCACAACAUAGAAAAGUAACUACAACAAUGACAACCACAUAGCAGGCCUUGGAGACUAGUACACUUAAGGACAGAGGAUGGAACAUUAUGGGUGGAGGGAAUGGAGUCCAAGAGAGACUAAAGCUAAGAGACAACCAUCACUAGAGGUCUUUUUGUUUUGCCAGAUUAUAGAUGUAAAUUUGGGGUCGACUUAUAGGGAAAAUUUAAACAGCAACUGCAAAGGAAAAAUAUUACAUUUAAGAUAAGCAAAGAGUAACCUUUCCUUUAAAACAUGAGCAAGUAGAAUCAUAAGUCAAUUUAGGAUUUUUUAGUUGGUCAAUGCAUUGUGAUAUAACUAUUAAAUUAAUGGAAAGGAAUUUUGUGUGUACCUGGUCUGUAUGUAUGUAAGGCAGUUAUAGAACACCAAAAAAUAACUGAGUUAGCUGUGGCACGGUGGCAUACACCAUACUUCCAGUACUCAGAAGGCAGAGGCAGGAGGAUCUGUGAUUUGAAAGCCAACCUCUUCUAUUUAGAAUUCCAGGACAGUCAUAACUACUAUAAGGAGAGACCCUAUCUUAAAAGGAAAGGAAAGAUAACUGAGUUGGCAGGCCGAGCAUUGGUGUGAAGGUAGAGAAGCAGCACAGCAGAGCAGUUUCUAUUUGGGGAGAGCAGAGGGAGGUGAGGUGGCUCUUGCUGCUUCUCUUACCAAUAUGCAAUGACUAAUUUGUUCUUUUCAAUCAUUUCUGCAUAGUAUUCUCAAAAAAAAAAAAAACCCUACUAAUAAGAAAACUAUAAAAAAAGGAGAACCCCAGGAGUUUGCAAGUAAACCUUACCUUUCCCUAUGGAAAAUCACAGUCAUAUCUUGAUUAAGACAGAUUAAGACAUGUAGCUCACAGCAGUAGCUAUAUUAUUAAUAACUGCUUGAGCCCAAACCUCUCCCCAUGCAAAGAGCCGAAUCAUACAAACGGAGAGUUUUAUCACAUCAGACUAAAUUUACAUCACUGUGAGUGAAAAGCAGCUUUGUAGGGAUAUACAAAGCAAGCUGCAGUUAAGGGACUGUCUCGAUGGAAUGUGUACAAUUAGCAUAGAGAAAUUACCUGAAGAAAGUCACGAAGAACUGUACCAGGUCCAUGAAGUUGCUGUGCUGGGAGAAGGCAAUCUGCAGCAAAAAUACAGAAAAUAUGGGUGACAAAGCCAGUGACAGCCUACGCUGCUUCUCAGCAAAAUGGCCUCAGCUACAGACUACGACCAGACAACCCACAGGGCGUCAUUUCUAUCUUACUAACUUUACUAUAAAAUAAUAGUGUUUAGCACCAAGAAUAUAAAAAAUUCCUACUGUAUUUGAACUAAGAACUGAAAGAAGUAACAUUAUUUUGUGGAGAAGAAAAACACUGCAAAUUUAACUAUGGCCUAAUUCUUUCUAAAUCAUUGGUUGUAUUGGUAGAUUAGAUGUAUCUACUGUGUGUCUCAGAAUUGACCGUCAUCACCAAUUCCUAAUACUUACUACUGGCCUAAUGUCACCUGCCUCACUAGACCAGAGCCCUCAUUAGGAAGAUAAUGGUACAACUGAAAUCUUUCAUCUAAAACGUUUGGGACUCCCAGGCACGAUAGCAUAUGCCUGGUCUCUCUAUAUAGCAAGAUCCAGGCAAGCUAGGGUUACAUAGUGAGAAUCUAUCUUACACACACACACACACACACACACACACACACACACACACACACACACACACAACAUAGGGCUUAGAACUAAUACGUUUCAGAUUUCAGGGUUCUUUGGGGAUAUUUGCUUAGAUUUAUUCAGCAGCUGAACACACCUAUUCUGAAAAUCUGAUAUCUAUAUAAUUUAAUUUUAUUUGAGACAGGAUCUCAAAAGCUCAGGGUGCCCUUGAGCUCACAAUUCUGCCUCACCCUCCCAGUGCUAAAAUUAUAGGCUUACAUUAUCCUGCUUGCUUGGCAAAGUGGAACUUUCUGAGCAUUAGUUUCAGAUUAAGAGUGUUCAGUAUCUAUUCGAAUGAAACAAUUACUAAGUAGAUGGUAACUGUUUCACUAAAGAUGGUAGUUAUGAUAACAAUUGGGAAGUUCAGCAAGUGGCCCCCAUCCCUCCAGCACACAUCAAAAACACACAUAGAAAAUAUAAACAUAUACAAUAAACAUAAAAUAAUAACUUUUUUUAAAAAAAUCAAGAAAGUCAAUGAUUAGCAUCUUAUUUUCCUAAAUUUAUUGCCCCACCCUUCUUCUGUGGUGCUGAGGAUCAUUCAAUCCCACACAAGCUAAGCAGGUGCUCUACCACUGAGACACACUCAUGCCUCUUACUCUUUUUAUAGCUAGAUUUACAACAGAAUAGAAAGGAGACCUUCAGCUCCCCCCCCAUCUUUUUUUUUUUUUUUUUUUUUUGCAUUCCAUAAGUAAAUAUGGUCCCAACAGUAUCAUAUAAGCCAUAAGGUAUUUUAAGGUAUAGAUUCUAAAAUUUCUGUGUCUUUUCUCUAUCACUUAUACUCUAAAGUGCAAAGUAACAGGUUUCGGGUUUGGUUUUGUUUUUGUCACUGUUAAGAGAAGACUGGCCUUGGAUGAAUAACAAUCCGCCUACUUCCGCCUUCCAUGUGCUACAAUUAAAGGUGUACAUCACCAGACACAUGGCUUAGAUUUGACUUUUAUGAGUAGCUUUUCUGGAGCUGGAGAGAUGGCUCAGAAGUUAAGAGCACUUCCUGCUCUUGUAGACGACCUAGGUUCAAUUUCGAGGAUCCACAUGGCAGCUCACAAUCAUCUGUACCUCCAGUUCGAAGACCCAAUACUAUCUUUUGACCUUGUAUGCAUGUGGUACAUAUGUAUACAGGCAAAAUACUUAUAAAAUAAAAUGAAUGGCCUUAAUAAAUAAAAAAAAGUUAGAUUUUCCUUAGUGUUUGCAUUUUAAAGAAACCUAUGAGGUGCUUUUACUAGUUAGUACUGGGUGCCAAAACCUGCGGAUGCUCCUGGCCCUUUCUCAGGCUCCAUCAGUCCUGGCUUGCCUGAUGCCAUGUAAUGAUUCUCAAAGCUUCUUUCUCAUUGUGGAGAGUUCAACCAUGGACUGACGUUUUGGCAAAGCAGAACCAUACCAGUUAAUGUCCUGUGUCUCAUCACAGAGAGGCUGCGAGUCCCAGGGUGGCUGGAGGGGGCACCUGAGACUAAAGGAGGCCCUCUCCUGUUGAAGCUGAUCAUCUAACAAGUUCAUAAUCACAAGUUGUACGGAGAGCAAAAGUCACCAUGUUUAUGACCACACUGGUCACCCACCCAGAAAUAUCUAUCAGUCUUGAACUUAAUGCUCAAAUUGGGAACUACUGAGAGUGGGAGGGGUGCUAUUAAAAACCAGGCUGGUUAAUCUUUUCUUUCUCUUCUCCUCUCCUCUGCUUCCCUGCUUUCCUCUGUCUCCCCCUUCCCUUCCUUUUUCCUCUUCUUCUCUUCUUUCUCUACUCUCUCCCACCUUCUUUUCUUUCCUCAUGUUCUCUUUUCUUGGCUAGAAUUGAACCUAGGGCCUUGCACAUACUAUGAAGGCAAGCAUUCUCCCACUGAGGUGGUCUGAAUGAGAUGUCCCCUGCAGUCCCAGACAUUUGAACUCCCCAGCUGGUGGUGCUGUGUAGGGAGGGUUAGGACUUGUGGUCUGCUAGGGGAAGGACAUCAUUAGGGGAGUGGGCUUUCCUAUUAAAAAACCUCAACUGUUUCUAGUUUGCUCUUUCUGCUUCCUGCUCCUGUAGCCAUACCUGCCACUUGCUGCCACAGCUUCCUUGUCAGGACAGACUCUUACCUCUCUGGAACUAUACACCCAAAUAAACUCUUCUAUAAGCUG